UGUUUGGGAAUGCAGCUCUAAAUGGGUGGUAAGUUUCAUCUAAAGCUAAAUAUAGGCGAGAGACCGAUAGCGAACAAGUACCGUGAGGGAAAGAUGAAAAGAACUUUGAAAAGAGAGUUAAAAGUACUUGAAAUUGCUAAGAGGGGAGCGCUAAAAACCAGUGAUACGUUGAGUCAAUCGCUUUCAGCCCCACUAGUUUGGGUGCGUAAUGGGCAACCUUGCGUGCGUAACCGAAAGGGUGGUUGUGAGUUUAUGAUUCAACGUCAGUCAAGAUCAAUUCGAAUUGUGGGAGAAGGUAGCGAGAAAGGUAGGUGAGCAAUCACUGUUAUAUUCUUGUUACUCUACCUCGAUUUGGAUUGAGGAAGUAAUGGUGCGCCGCUUUGCGGCUUGGUCCUGCGUCUCUAUUGCUCUAUCUGCUUCCAUAGCAAUGCUAUGUUGGUGGAAAAAAGCAAUACUGGGCGCAGUGAUUCUAUGUGCCAUCACGAUCUUGUACGAAAUGGUUUUUAUCGACCCGUCUUGAAACACGGACC
rnacentral:rRNA from 1 species